GUGAAUCAUCGAAUCUUUGAACGCAAAUUGCACUCUCUGGUAUUCCGGAGAGUAUGCCUGUUUGAGGGUCAGUUAACAUAAAAAUCGGUGUGGUGUCUGCCUUUUCUGGUCACGCACCGGCUGUGGGUCGUCUUGCCUUCGGUUAAGUGGCCUCCAGUUUGUCAUGAUUUUUUCGAACGUAUUUGA
rnacentral:misc_RNA from 1 species